UUUCCUGUGGCUCAGUUGGUAGAGUGUUGCGCUAAAAUCGUGAGGGUUGUGAGUUCAAAUGUAAGUCGCUUUGGAUAA